rnacentral:rRNA from 1 species
CCCUUAGAUGUCCUGGGCCGCACGCGCGCUACACUGAACGGAUCAGCGCGUUUUCCCUUCCCGAGAGGGACGGGUAACCUGCUGAACCCCGUUCGUGGUAGGGAUCGGGGCUUGCAAUUAUUCCCCGUGAACCAGGAAUGCCCAGUAAGUGCAAGUCAUAAGCUUGCGUUGAUUACGUCCCUGCCCUUUGUACACACCGCCCGUCGCACCUACCGAUUGAAUGGUCCGGUGAAAUCUCGGGACGGCGGCUUGGUCGCUUGCGUCCGACUGCUGAAACUUGAUUAAACCAUAUCAUUUAGAGGAAGGUGAAGUCGUAACA